UACGUAGGGGGCAAGCGUUGUCCGGAAUCAUUGGGCGUAAAGAGCGUGUAGGCGGUCCGGUAAGUCAGACGUGAAAUCCCUCAGCUUAACUGGGGAGCUGCGUCUGAUACUGAGUGGCUUGAGUGCAGGAGAGGAAUGCGGAAUUCCAGGUGUAGCGGUGAAAUGCGUAGAUAUCUGGAGGAACACCGGUGGCGAAGGCGGCAUUCUGGACUGUAACUGACACUGAGGAACGAAAGCCAGGGGAGCAAACGGG
rnacentral:rRNA from 1 species